UACAGAGGCCCCAAGCGUUACUGAGAAUCACUGGGCGUAAAGCGCACGUAGGCGGCUUCUUAAGUCAGGGGUGAAAUCCUGGAGCUCAACUCCAGAACUGCCUUUGAUACUGAGGAGCUUGAGUCCGGGAGACGUGAGUGGAACUCCGAGUGUAGAGGUGAAAUUCGUAGAUAUUCGGAAGAACACCAGUGGCGAAGGCGGCUCACUGGCCCGGUACUGACGCUGAGGUGCGAAAGCGUGGGGAGCAAACAGG
rnacentral:rRNA from 1 species